UACGACUUCUCUUUCUCUCAAUUUUUCUAGUCAUUUCUCAGAGUUUUCUCACACUUUCUCUUCAUAGUUUUUGCAAGAAAAGGCCACUCAAAUCUUUGGCAUGUUAUGUUUGAUGAAUCUUGGAUAAUAGAGCUGAUAAAGGUUGAUUUUACUUUAGGUGAUGAAAAGUUUGUGGGAAUUAAAGGGCUAAGAUGAGCCUUAAGAAGGCGGCAAUCCAAGAAAUAGUAAUAGAGGAAGAAGAUCCAAUGCAACAAAAGCCAUGGAUGAUCAUGUUCCUGGCUCAAUGGGAACCACUGCCAGCUUUUCUUUGAGAUUGGGCCAGAUCAUCUUCUCUUCUGCUUCUCUCUUUUUCAUGUCUUUGAGUGUUCAAUUCUACAGCUACACUGCCUUCUGCUACCUGGUCACAAUCAUGGGUUUGGCAAUCCCAUGGAGUUUCACACUGGCAAUUGUUGAUGGAUACUCUGUUCUGUUUAAAUGCCAUAUCCGGCAGCCUGGAAUGCUGCUGAUUGUUACCAUUGGAGAUUGGGUUUUAUCAAUUCUUAUGCUAGCUGCAGCAUGCUCAACAGCUAGUGUUGUGGAUCUCCUGCUCCAUGCUGGUGGGUCAUAUUGCCCUCCUAGGGUUUGCGGUAGAUACCAAAUAUCUGCUGCUAUGGCAUUCUUGUCUUGGUUUCUGUCCAUGGUUUCAUCUCUGUUCAAUCUCUGGUUACUUCCCUCCUUGUGAUUUUCAGGCUGGUUUUUGAUGUACCCCAUUUGCCAAAUUUUGAUGACAGUUUAUGGGUUUUCUAAAUCCAAGAUUUGUACAAAGCGAAUAUCAAGUGUUUCAAAUUUUGAAAGCGGGUGAAUAUGAAAUGAUAUGGUUCUUGUAAAUAGUUGUGGGCAAUUGUCCAAGAUAAUAACAAUAAGAUGACCAGUCUCUGAAUAUUCUCCUUCUCUUCUUUGUGGACUCUCUGUUUAAAGCUCGCUUUGCGGUUGUCCUCUAGGAUACUUUUCCCGUCAUCUGUUCGCUCUGAAUAUUAAACAAGCUUAGUCUGCACAGUUCACAGCUGUUUUCUGGUUGCUAUCUGAAGAACCCAAGACAUGAAUUGGCACGUUAACUCUACUGCACCAUGAUCUGCUGCCUUUUACAGUGCAGUACAAAUCUUAAGGGCAACUA
rnacentral:misc_RNA from 1 species